GAUGAACGCUGGCGGCGUGCCUAACACAUGCAAGUCGAACGAAGCGACUGGAGGAAGUUUUUGGAUGGAAUCCGGUUGACUGAGUGGCGGACGGGUGAGUAACGCGUGGAUAACCUGCCUCACACUGGGGGAUAACAGUUAGAAAUGGCUGCUAAUACCGCAUAAGCGCACAGUACCGCAUGGUACGGUGUGAAAAACCCAGGUGGUGUGAGAUGGAUCCGCGUCUGAUUAGCCAGUUGGCGGGGUAACGGCCCACCAAAGCGACGAUCAGUAGCCGACCUGAGAGGGUGAACGGCCACAUUGGGACUGAGACACGGCCCAAACUCCUACGGGAGGCAGCAGUGGGGAAUAUUGCACAAUGGGCGGAAGCCUGAUGCAGCGACGCCGCGUGAGUGAAGAAGUAUCUCGGUAUGUAAAGCUCUAUCAGCAGGGAAGAAAAUGACGGUACCUGACUAAGAAGCCCCGGCUAACUACGUGCCAGCAGCCGCGGUAAUACGUAGGGGGCAAGCGUUAUCCGGAUUUACUGGGUGUAAAGGGAGCGUAGACGGCGACGCAAGUCUGGAGUGAAAGCCCGGGGCCCAACCCCGGGACUGCUUUGGAAACUGUGUUGCUGGAGUGCAGGAGAGGUAAGUGGAAUUCCUAGUGUAGCGGUGAAAUGCGUAGAUAUUAGGAGGAACACCAGUGGCGAAGGCGGCUUACUGGACUGUAACUGACGUUGAGGCUCGAAAGCGU
rnacentral:rRNA from 1 species